rnacentral:rRNA from 1 species
AUGGCUUCCGCAUCCGCCUCGCCACCGGCGAACGCCCACGCACCGCAGGCGCUGUCCAAGUCCACUCUCCUGGGCGGCGUUGGGGAUCUGGACGCGGCCGUGUCCCUCCGCCUCCACGCCCUCUUCCUCCCGGUGCCCCGCCUCCUCCUCAAGGCCUUCGAGGUCGCCGGCGACGGGCGCAUCUGGCUCCCCGUCCCCAUCUCCCUGCUGCUGAUCUCCACCACCACCUCGUCCGUGGUCUCCCCUCUCCUCGUCGGCCUCGUCGUGGGCCUGGUGCUCGACCUCGCCUUCGUCGGCCUCGCCAAGCUCAUCGUCCGCCGUCCGCGCCCGGCAUACAACGCCGCGGACAUGUAUGUCGCCGUCUCCGUUGACCACUGGUCCUUCCCCAGCGGUCACUCCUCGCGCGCCUUCCUCGUCGCCGCCUUCCUCGCGGACGGGGGCCUCCCUCUCCCUCGCGAGCUGCUGUUCCUCUGGGCGGCCGCGACUUCGGCGUCAAGGGUGCUUCUGGGCCGGCACUACAUUCUCGAUGUGCUCGCCGGCGCUUGGCUCGGCGUGCUGGAGGCCUGGCUCAGCAACUUGAUCUUGAGAUUCUUGUGCGGCCGCACCAGCUUUCUUGUAUGCUAG